AGGGUUCGAUCAUGGCUCAGAACGUACGCUGGCGGCACGCCUAACACAUGCAAGUCGAACGAAGUAGCAAUACUUAGUGGCAGACGGGUGAGUAACAUGUAGGUAUCUGCCCUAUGGCCUGGAAUAACACGAGGAAACUUGUGCUAAUACCGGAUAAGUCUUUACGGAGAAAGCUUUAUGCACCAUUGGAUGAGCCUGCACUUGAUUAGUUUGUUGGUGGGGUAAUGGCCUACCAAGACUGUGAUCAAUAGCUGAUUUGAGAGGAUGAUCAGCCACAUUGGGACUGAGACACGGCCCAAACUCCUACGGGAGGCAGCAGUGGGGAAUCUUGCACAAUGGAGGAAACUCUGAUGCAGCGAUGCCGCGUGAGUGAAGAAGGCCUUUGGGUUGUAAAGCUCUUUCGUCGGGGAAGAAAAUGACUGUACCCGAAUAAGAAGGUCCGGCUAACUUCGUGCCAGCCGCCGCGGUAAUAC
rnacentral:rRNA from 1 species